GAAAUGCGAUAAGUAAUGUGAAUUGCAGAAUUCAGUGAAUCAUCGAAUCUUUGAACGCACAUUGCGCCUAUUAGUAUUCUAGUAGGCAUGCCUUUUCGAGCGUCAUUUCAACCCUCAAGCCCUGGUUGCUUGGUGUUGGUAGCUUGCUGUGAAACGCAACUCCUCAAAGCUAGCUGGCAGAGUCGGGAUGCACUCUAAGCGUAGUAAACUUGAUAGUCUCGCUUCUGCAGUUGUCCCGGCCGUCUUGCCAUAAAAGCCCAAACUUUUUUGUUUUCUAUGGUUGACCUCGGAUCAGGUAGGAAUACCCGCUGAACUUAAGC
rnacentral:misc_RNA from 1 species